GAGUUUGAUCGUGGCUCAGAUUGAACGCUGGCGGCAUGCUUUACACAUGCAAGUCGAACGGCAGCGCGGGGCAACCUGGCGGCGAGUGGCGAACGGGUGAGUAAUAUAUCGGAACGUACCCAAGAGUGGGGGAUAACGUAGCGAAAGUUACGCUAAUACCGCAUACGAUCUAAGGAUGAAAGCAGGGGAUCUUCGGACCUUGUGCUCCUGGAGCGGCCGAUAUCUGAUUAGCUAGUUGGUGAGGUAAAGGCUCACCAAGGCCACGAUCAGUAGCUGGUCUGAGAGGACGACCAGCCGCACUGGAACUGAGACACGGUCCAGACUCCUACGGGAGGCAGCAGUGGGGAAUUUUGGACAAUGGGCGAAAGCCUGAUCCAGCAAUGCCGCGUGAGUGAAGAAGGCC
rnacentral:rRNA from 1 species